GAACUAUAGCCAUGUUACUCCAAGUGGAAGAUACAAGAUACAUUGAGGAUCUCUUAUGAGACUUGUUUGAUUGCUUAUACUUUGUGGUUGCUUAUUCCAAAGGAUGAGAGCUACUUAGAUCAUCAAUAUGAUCACAAGAGAGGAACUCCAUUGUGGUUUUGUUUCUUCAUCCCUUCUCUUCUUGUUUUCCUUAGGACUUAGCCCUUCUUCUUCAUCUCUCCACUCUAACCUAAGCCAAAAC
rnacentral:lncRNA from 1 species